rnacentral:sRNA from 1 species
AAUAGAGGAACGAAGGCUAAAACCAUUACGUCCUGUGAUAAACCCUUCGCUUUCGCGCAAA